rnacentral:rRNA from 1 species
UACGAAGGGUGCAAGCGUUACUCGGAAUUACUGGGCGUAAAGCGUGCGUAGGUGGUCUGUUAAGUCUGAUGUGAAAGCCCUGGGCUCAACCUGGGAAUUGCAUUGGAUACUGGCAGGCUAGAGUGCGGUAGAGGGUAGUGGAAUUCCCGGUGUAGCAGUGAAAUGCGUAGAGAUGCGGAGGAACACCGAUGGCGAAGGCAGCCCCCUGGGCUGACACUGACGCUCAGGCACGAAAGCGUGGGGAGCAAACAGG